rnacentral:lncRNA from 1 species
CAGUAAACCAGUUGGAUCAGUUGAACCUAGAGGAGCAGUUACUGGUUAAGUGUGCUGCAGUCAUUGGUCACUCCUUCCACAUAGAUCUGCUGCAGCACCUCCUGCCUGCCUGGAAUAAAAACAAGCUACUUCAGGUGCUGAGGGCUCUUGUGGAUAUGCAUGUGCUCCGCUGGUUCAACAGGAGUCAAGAGCUUCCUGCUGAGUCAAUAUUAGUGCCUUCCUCUAUCAAAAUUAUUGAACAAACCAAAGAGGAGAAGAAGAAAAAGCCAGAUGCUGACUCCCCUCUCAGUCUGCAAGAGGAAUUAUCCCUACCUCAAACAGAGGUGCUAGCAUUUGGAGUGCCACUGUUACGAGAAGCUGCUUGGGAGCUGUGGCCCAAGGCACAGCAGAUAGCCCUGCACCUUGAAUGUGCAUGCUUUCUCCAAGAUUUGGCCUGCCGCUGUGGGAGCUGUCAGGGGGGGGACUUUGUCCCCUUCCACCGUUUUGCUGUCUGUUCUGCCAAGAGCUGCAGUGGGACCUCCCGGUUUUGUAGUUACAAAGAUACUGGCUCAGUACUAACACAAGUGAUCACAGACAGGUUGCAGCUGCCUUCUCCCCAAGGUAAAUCCAGGGAGCAGGAAGAGGACACAUGGGCAGCACUUCUCCAUAUUCAUGUACUUGGAGUUCUUUAUCCGAAAGGUGGAAUCAGAUUAAGGUAGAAAAAUAGGCAGAAGAAGCCAUUUAUCCCUGAAUCACCAGAAAGAAGAAAAAUAUAAUCUCAGAGCUAGAAGGAACUUCAGAAAUUGUGCUUGUUUUGGCUGGCAAUCUUGGGCAAGUUACCUAACCUCAAUUAAUUGAGGAAAAUAACAAUGCCAAUUUCAUAGUGUUCCUGUGAGAAUUGAAUGAGUUAUAAUAUAUAGUAUGCUCUGGAUAGUGCCAGGCAUGUGGUUAGUGCUCAGCACAUUUUAGUUACUGUUCUUCUUCUUCUUCUUCCUCUUCUUCUUCUUAUUACUAUUAUUAUUAUUAUUAAACUCUGUACACAUAUAUGAUACACAUGUGUGUAUCAGAUGCUGCAACUAGGUAUUAAGAAUAAAAAAUGAGUAAGCAUGGGUCCCUGAAAUUAU